CCUGGGAAAUAAAGAUAGACAAAAAAUAGUCUCCAACUUCAUGAAAUUCCCAGCCUAACGUGGGAGACAAUUUACAAACAGCUAUGUACAAACAAGCUACAGAAAGGGUAAACUGGGAGUCAUCUCAGUGGGAGGGCAUUGAGUUGAAAGAAGAGGAAGAAUCACUUCUUGCCUUAUCCUAGAAUCUAUUAAGCAGAGACUUUCCUUCAAAGUUAUUUGGAUGAAGAUGGAAAAGAAUUAAUGAAGGAAAAUUGUUAAUAAAUACCAUGUAGCCUUUGGGAAAUGUUUCUUUUCCUUCUAACUAACUUUUAGCUCUGAAGAGAGAGAAGAGGUAUACUGAAUGACCACAAACUGGGAGACUCUGAUACUGCUUUUUUUUUUUUUCGGCCAUCCGGAAAGAAAACAAACAGGGAAGUUAAAAGUUUCCAGGACUGAUUGCCUGAAUGAAUUAAAGCAAGGUUCUUCUGAGGGCAAUGGGAAUAGUUAAAUGUCUAGAGCUGUGAGGAACCUCGGAGGUUCUCUAGAUAAAGCGACUUAUUUUACAAAGAAGAAAAGCGGGGCUCAGGGAGGCUACUGGACUCCGGGAGUGAAUGAUCACAAGCAGGAUUGGAGCCUGCGCUUCUGAGACCUUGGGAACCAGGGCUCUUCUCCUAUGGCCACACUGCCUUGUUCUGAGAUUGAUGGAGUCUCCGCCGCCAGCAGGCAGCCAGCGACAGAGACAGGGACAGAAUGACCCGCCUCGGAAUCCAAACUCAAGGGUUGCUGCAGAUGAAUUACUGCCAACUUCGUAAGACAAACUGGACAAACUCCCAUCAUGCCGGGUGAUGAAACAAUUUCCAGAUACCUAUUGUGACUCUUGGCAGGACCUUCAGUCUCUCAGUGUGCUGCUGUUUUCACAUGAGUGUGCUUCAGUUUUAAAAUCUGGAAAGUUGACUAUAAAACAAAUGGACCCAGCAAAGCUCAUUCAUCCACUCAAGCCUUACCAGGUGUGUUGCAUGCUAAAAGGAUGCUACAGUAACCAAGUGCCUUCAGCUAUUCAAUUCAGGAUACACAUACAAGCUAGAAGACCAAAGCAAAGGGGAUAAAUGAAUGUUUGUUGAUAUUGAAAGCCAUGGGCCUUGAGACCUUGAGAAUUAGCCAAGCAGAAAAUAAAUAAAUAAAAAGGCAAUUUGUUUUAGAUAGGAAAACUGUUCUGAUGAUGAUUUUAAAUUGGAUUGAAUAAACCAAAUGAAUUUCACCUGAGAAAUGACUUUGUGAUUAACAUGCACAUUUUCAAAAUAAUUUUUAAAUGCCUAUGAAUAUUCUGGUCUUUUAAAUUCAGUUUUUUUCUAAAAAGAUAGAAUGAGGCUUACAAUUUUUCAUUCAUGGUCUUCCUAUGCUUCUUA